CCCAUAUGCUGAGUCCUGGGGUUUCUGGAACUUCUGAUCUCCUAUGGCCGAGGAGGGCAGGACAGUGAAGACUUCAGAAAUUCAGAGCUAUGCUGUGUGUUUUGUUUUGCCUAGUUUUGGAUUUGGAAAGAAACAUUUCAACAGAGUACCCCCGCUCCCCGUGGAAACUGAGACAAUUAUCUUCCCAAAGCCCUGAACUCCCCUUCCUACUUCCGAAGGAGCCCCUCUGUUCACAGCUGCUAAAGCUAGCCGGAAGUCCGGUUCCUUCCCCAGGCAGUUCUUUUUGGAUGUUGGAUGCACACCUUUCUAAGCAUUGUGGUCUCCAAAUCAUCUAUCCAUGAUGGAUGACAUGACCAUGAAUCUUUGCUUAAAUAUGGACUCCUGAAAUAUCAUAAAAUCCCAGAGCAUCGGAGCUGGACAAAGGCCAUCUGGAUAUUUUGUCUGAGGCUCAGAGAAGACAAGGACCUUAUUUAAGGUCACACAGUGAGUUAGCUGCAGAAUUAGGACUCAGAUUCUGUUCUGUAUUCCUCAGGUCAUUGAAUCAAAGGCUGAAUUCCAUUCCUUUACAUGGCACUGGAUGCCCCACACGAUGGAGGACCUUUCUGGCAGAGCACAAUGUCCCACAGGAUUACACUGAACCAGAGGGUCCAGAUGAUAGGUGGCACAGUGGGUUGCCCUGCCACUGAGGAGUCAAUUCUAAACCACAACGGGCAUUUUUAUGGCAUGCAGCUGUACCCUAAGGAAGGAGGGGCAAGGUGAUCAACAGACAUUCAGAAGAUGGAGAAAACAGUCUCAUGAUAGUUCCUUAUCAGGCGGCUUAUUUCCCUUGCUCCAGGAAGAGUUGGUGUUCUCUGAAGGCACAGACACAUCCUGGGAAGUGCCUUCAUCUACUCGGAGGUGGAGGGGGAAGGAGGCCCGCCAUCCAUCUGAACUCUCAGGUCAGCUGGCCUUCCUUUUUGGGAUACUCCAGACUUACAUGUGCCAGUCCCCAGGAGAGCCGACAGGCUACCUAGCAAAGGAACAGUGUCCAUCUUCCAAGCCACACCAGUCCUGAGGGCAGGAAGGCCUCUCAGGGAGCUGCUGGGUGGACCUUCAGUUGGGCCUGUCAGUGGAGUGAGGCUGCCUUCGCCCAGGGCUACCUUUCUCAGACAACUCAGCGCGGAGUGGGGCCCGAGUGUGAGAACUCAGAGCGGGGCUCCAGCUGCCACAUUUUUCUGCCUUGUAUGUGAUUGCUCUUGUCUCUUGUCCUCUAAAAAUCAUCCGUCACACGGCGAGACCCUGGGGUUCAGAGGGAACUCUGAAAGGAGCUGUUGUCUGUAGCUUUUAGACUUUUCUGAUUCACGAGCCCUAAUGAGAUUCCCUCCACCAGCCCAGAGGCACACUGAGCUCAGCAGGACACCAAGGAAAUGGAUUCCGCCCGAAAGCGUGGGAAGUAGAGUCUACACACGUUGGAGCAGCCCAGAGCAUGAAGAUUCUGGGGGUCCAGGUCCAAGGUUCAAGCAGGACUGAGGGGCGGGGGAAGCUCUCUGCUGCUCCCUCCCCUCCAGGGAAGCCGGAGAGGCCCUACUUGGACAGCUUGUGAAGUUGAUCUACUACAUAAGAUUCCCUUUGGCACAGACUGGUCUGCUACUGUAAAACAUUUACAAACAAUUCCUGCUGUUUGGCACUGCUGCUGCGAAUAGGGGCACUUUGGCCCAGAGGCUGGGGCGGGGAGGAUCUUACCCAAGGUCACCCAGCUGCUGGGCGAGCUGGAGCAGAAGCCAGCCCUCCCUCUCACUGGCCAGUGGCAUCUGUACCAGCCAUAUGGGAAACAGGCUGGAGUUCAUGUGCGGCGGGGAGGGCCCUGGUGCAGACUGGGUUCCCCGAGAGUGUUCACAUUCCCCACACGUGCUGAUGCCUGGCACACACCAGCCCAGCCAACACACUUCACUCAUGUGUCCGCUGUGUGAGUCAGGGGAGAGAGAAAGACGCAGAGACAGAGAGACCGAGAGACGGAGGGAGAUUUAUUUUAAGGAAUUGGCUUGCGUGAUGACGGGGGUUGGCAAGUCUGGAAUCAGCAGGGCAGGCCCGCACUCUCGAGUUGAAGGCUGGCAUCUCAAGGAGGGUUUCUAUGCUGCAGUCUGGGCCCAGAAUCUUUUCUUUGGGGAACCCCGGUCUUUGCUCUCAGGACCACCAACAAUUGGAUGAGGUCCACUCACCUAGACAAGGUCAUCUGCUUUACUCAAAGUCUACUGAUGUAAAUGUUACCUCUGAGAAAUGCCUUCAUGGCAACAUCUAGACUGGUCUUUGACCCAACAGCUGGGCACCAUGGCCUACCCAGGCUGAAACAAAACAUUAACCAUCAUAUCCACAGCCCCUCUGCACCAGCCCAGGGAAGCAGAUGUUGGCUUUGGGCCCAGCAGAUUUUAAGCCAGACCUGGGAGAGGAGGUGAGGGCACCACAGCAGGGAAGGGUAGGGAGCAAAAGGUCAGCAGGUGGAGGGCACAGCCGGGAGGACUAUAAGGCUCAGCAAGAAGGUAGCCCCUACGGGAAUAGGAGGAAGAGCAGGUGCCCCUAUGUCCAGGAGACAGGGCCUAUUGGAAGUGACUCCUACAGAAGUUCUUAGUGGCAUGCCAUGGAGGAAGGGCCCCAAGGCUGGAUUUGGGAGCUCGAACCGAGAUUCUUCCCAGGGUCAAGGCAACAGUGGAGGAUCCUGACAGAUGACUUGGUUCACACGUAGUUAGGAAGCAUUCACAGAGUGGGGGCGCUGUUCAGGAGGCCUGCAGGCAAGGGCUUGGUACUGCUGAGCAUGAGUCAUAAAUCAGAGUGCUGCUGAGUGGUGGUCUGCCUAUGAGGGGAGGGGAGGUAGCCUUGACCCAAGUCCCACAGCUGUCCCCCCAUAUCUCCACCGGCCGCAGCUGCCCUUGGGUUAACAUUCUGACCUCAAUGAGGUGAGCUAGGUGGGGGCAAUGUGUCUGUUGGAGGCCAGACCUGGAGGCCCAGGGUUUGGCCCAACUCUGCCUCCCUCCCUGGGGAUACCUGCCUUUGCAUUCCCCUGCUCCCCCCAGCCCAGAGUGGCCACACCCUAGGGUUUGAACCCAUACUUUGACCUUCCAUCAAAAGGAGGGAACAGUGUCUAGCAGCUUCAAGGCUCCUGAGAGCAGGCCAAGGCCAGGCGGGGGCAAGUUACUCCUCAGAGGGAAUCCAGAUUUGUGCAAAUGACCCCCAACCCACUAUCAGCCGGUCACUCCCCCAGGGGUCCCCUUCUUCUGUCCCUCCCCUGUCUUCUGUCCCAAAUGAUGAAGCUCUCUUUGGUGUCCUCUUGUCUUCUGGCUACCCCUCUGGCAUCAGCUUACAAGGGCUCCGUGAAAGCUGCUUCUCUUCCUCUCACUGUUCCGGCAGCCCUGCCUGUGUGCUCUCCUCAGCCCUUCCUCGAGGUUCAUCUUGGUGGAGUUCUUUACCCCGAGGGUAUGGCUGAAGCUCAACACUUUGGCUUUUGCCAUUGAGAUAGUAGGUCUAGUGGGGUUUCUCCUCUGCCAUGAAGAACAGGAGAGUGUCCAGGCUUUCAGUACAGCCUCAUGCUUAAGGUCAUUGAAAUCCUAAGGCAGGUACUAAUUGUACUCUCAUUUCAUGGGGGAGCACUUGAGACUUAGAGAGGGUGGAUGGCUUGCCCAAGGAAGUGCAAGGAGUAGAGACAGUCUGGGAAUCCAGAGCCCUGCCAUUCCUAAGUGCCUUGGGAUUGUGCUAGUUCCUCCUCUGGUCACACAGUCUAGCAAAGCCUCUUCCCUGCUCUAAACAGAAAGCCCACAGGUCAGGAACAGGCUUGCUGGAAACCCCAGCUCAGCCCUGAAGUCAUUAAGACCAUCCCAUAUGGGGAGGGGAUGUCCUUUGGGGGCUUACUCGUCAAUGAGAGACAACCUAAGGGGGAGAGACUCAAGUUCAGGGCAGGGAGAGCUUCUAUCCCUUUCUAUCCUCCCCGGGGCUGUAGUCUCAAGCUCCCUAAGCUGUUGUUUUAAAACAGAUGCUUAUUUUUUAGUUUUAAUUUUUAUUAUUGAAGUAUAGGUAACAUACGCAUUAUUUCAGUUUCAGGUGUACAACAUGGUGAUUUCACAAGUCUAUACUCUACUCAGUGCUCGCCACGAGAAAUGUAGUCAUCCUCUGUCACCGUACAGGGUUAUCACAGUAUCAUUGACUACAUUCCCCUACUGUGCUUUUCAUCCCCCUGACUUAUUUAUUUUAUAACUAGAAUUUUGUACCUCUUCAUCUUCUUCACCUAUUUUGCCCAUCCCCCUCCCCCACCCCUCUGGUGACCACCAGUUUGUUCUCUUUAUUUAUGAGUCUGCUUCUGUUUGUUGUUGUUGUUUAUUUGCUGAUUUGCUUUGUCCACUGUAAGUGAAAUCAUAUGAAAUUAACCUUUCUCUGCCUGACUUAUUUCACUUAGCAUUACACUCACAAGAUCCAUACAUGUUGUGGCCAAUAGCAAGAUCUCAUUCUUCUUUAUGGCUAAGUAAUGUUCCAUUCCAUGUAAAUGCCUCAUCUUCCUUAUCCACUCAUCUGUGGAUGGACACUUAGGUUGCUGCCCAUUGUCUUGGCCAUUGUAAAUAAGUAUAUAUCAUUUCGAAUUGGUGUUUUUGGUUUCUUUGUGUAAAUACCCAGUAGUGGAAUUACUGGAUCAUAUGGUAUUUUUAUUUUUAAUUUUUUGAGGAAUCUCCGUACUGUUUUCCAGAGUGGCUGCAGCAAUUUACAUUCCUGCCAACAAUAUGCGAGGGUUCCUUUUUCUCUACAUCCUUGCCAACCUUUGUUAUUUUUUGCCUUUUGGGUACUAGCCCUUCUUGACUAAUGUGAAGUGAUAUCUUGUGAUUUUAAUUGGCAUUUCCCUGAUGAUGAGUGAUGUUGAGCAUCUUUUCAUGUGUCCAUUGGCCAUUAUGUCUUCUUUGGAAAAGUGUCUAUUUGGUCCUCUGCUCAUUUUUAAUCAGAUUAUUUGGGGUAUUUUUGGUGUUGAGUUGUAUAAGUUCUUUUAUAUAUUCUAAACAUUAGCCUCUUAUUGGAUAUGUUAUUUGUGAAUAUCUUCUGCCUUUUCAUUUUGUUGAUAAUUUCCUUCACUGUGAAAAAGCUGUUUAUUUUGAUAUAGUCCCAAUAGUUUAUUUUUGCUGUUGUUUCCUUUGCCUUAGGAGACAUAUCCAGAAAAAAGUUGUUAAGGCCAACGUCUAAGAAAUUACCACUUGUGUUUUCUUUUAGGAUUUUUAUGGUUUCAGGUCUCACAUUUAGGUCUUUAAUCCAUUUUUAGUUUAUUUUUGUGUACAGUGUUAGAAAGUGGGCCAAUUUCAUUCUUUUGCAGGUAGCUCUCCAGUUUCCCCAGCACCAUUUAUUGAAGAGACUUUUACCAGUAGCCCAUGAUCCUGGGCCUGUUGUGGUCCCCAGGGGCAAGAGGAUCUGUAUCAGGCUUCAAAUCUGCCCUACCACUAUUCCCCACCCCAACCCCUGUCACCGGCCCCCCUGAUACUCCAGGUCCUCCAGGAUAUGGCCAUUACCACUUCUCUCACUUCAUAAUCUGGAAACUUCCUUUCCCCUCCAUGGUGCUUCUCCUGCACCUCCUACCCUUGUCUUCCUUGACACACGACCGUAAAGCCACCAAAGCCUCCCCUGUAUACUUCCAGUGUAUUGUUCAAAGCCCAGCAGUGCCUGCCCCCUCCUCUGCCUUCCCCGAGGUGCCCAUUGGGAAGGGUUUUGCCAUUCCCCCUUGCCUCCUCAACACCCUCAGUUAACACCUUAGUCACAGAGUGUGUGUGGUUUAGAGGGGAAGUGCUGCAGGUGGCAGAAUCAGUCCACCUAGAAGACCAGAAUCGACUGUAGGUCAGCAAUCAACUAGCCUAGGUCUUGGCCCAGAGUCGGUGUUCAGGAAACAGAAAGGAAAAACUUCACGGAAGUUCUUGGAACUCACCCAGCAAAGACCGAGACAGAAAGACAUUCUAGAAUCCUAGAACCAAAGUCUGGGGCAGUGGAGAGGGCCCUCAAGCACCUUGUGCAGAGUGUCCAAGCCAGGCUGAGCAUCAGGGACACCGGGGCUGCUUUUUAAAAUGCAGAAGUUCUGCUGACCACAGACACGUGCCUCAAGGGCAUGAGUCAGAACAGACCACAGCUGACGAUGGGCAGCUCCAAAGAUGUCAGUGGGAGAGGUUUGGGGAUGCCUGGUCUGUGCUGCCGCCCUAGGACUGGGAGCUUAGGGCAGGAACAGCCCCAGAUGGAAUUGGCAGGAAACCUGUACAUCCUUCGGUCCUUCGGUCCAGCCUUCUGUCUACUGCUUUGGACCCAAAAGUAGUGUUUGUCCAGCACUCAGCUAGAAGCUGGAGCCGUAGCAGUGAACAUGCCAUCAAAAAACACCAAGGAGCAGGGGGGCUGCCGCUCGGAUGAGGUGUGGGAGGGGCAGUGCAGACAGGGGUCAGCCUAGUCUCGUGGGCAGGACAGACAGACGGAGAACAAGGAGGUAACCCACAGGGAUGGGAAACUGAAGGAAGAGAGCAGUGGCCAGCAGAGAGGACUGUGUGUGUACAGGCUCUGAGGCCUGGGAGGAAGAGGGAGGCCUGUGUGGCUGGAUCCCAGAGUGCAAAUAGAGGAGCCGAGGGGCAGGCACUGGGGCAGGGGAGGCUGCCAGAGGGGCGGAGGCAGGGCCAGCAAACACAUGAAAAGGUGAUCAACACCACUAGCCACUGAAGAAAUGCAAAUCCAAAAGUGCAAUAGAUACCACCUCGUGCCACUAAGAUAAAAAACAAAACAAAACAAUACAAAACAAAACAGAAAAGAACAAGUGUUGGGGAGGCUGUGGAGAAACUGGAGCCCCUGUGCACUGCUGGAAAAUGGGGCAGCUUCUGCAGAAAACACUUUGGUGGUUCUUCAGAAAGUUAGACAUACAGUUUCCAUGUGCCCCAGCAUUUCCGCUCCUGGGGUACCUACCCAGGAGAACUGGCACGCCGACAAUGAAGGCUCAUGGCAGCAUUAUUCAUAAUCCCAAAAUGUAGAAACAACCCAAAUCUUCAUCGACUGGCAGGCAGAUAAGCCGCAGUCCAUCCAUAACGGUACACUACCCAAUCCUGAAAGAUAAUGAAGUGCGGAUCCACGCCACAGUGUGGCUGAACUCUGAAAAGCUCUGGUUGGGUGCAGAGGCCAGUCCCGAAAGGCUACAUGCUGGAUGAUGGCAUUCGUGCGCGAUGUCCCGAAGAGGCCGAUCCCUACAGACGGAAGACAGGGUCCUUUUCUGCCAUGGAGACGUCAGGUGGAAGAGCCCCUACUCCGGAGAGGAAAAGCUCUCAGUCUACCCCCAAGCCUCAUCUGCCACCUUCUCCAGCUACCACUGGGCUGCCCGGAAGAGAGCAGCAUGGUCAGAACAGCACAGCCACUAGAACGUGAGCUCCGUGAGAGCAGAGACUUUCAUUGGCCUUGUUCAGUGCCGUACCUCUUGUGGCUAGAACAGCGCCUGCCACACG